AUAAAGGAGUUGUUAGUCUUCGUGCCACAGACCUCGGCCAGAAGAUUAGCCGCCUGAUAGACCAGUGAAGCGUAACCAGAUGCUUCUCUUGCUGGGCUGUCGUCCUCAGGAAGGCUAGUUUGCGCCAACUGCGGUCUACGUGACUGGGUGCCAUAGUCCACAUGGCUGUACGUGGAGGUCAGAUUCGAGUUGUCAGAUGUCAACGUGGAAGGAAGGCUGUCUUCAGCGUCCGCUCCAGGUAGGACAGGCGCAUGGUGGCGUCCACGCCAUCGCUGCUCCUCUGCUUCUUCUUGUCCAGCAGGGAGAAGACAUCCUUGGCGAAGCAGGAGAUGAUGCCGCCCUCUGCAUCUGAAACACACACACAGGUUCUCACCCAUCUUGUUCCCACCCAGCGUGUAAGUCUUCCCAGACCCGGUUUGACCGUAACAGAACACGGUGGCGUUGGUUCCGUCCAGUAAGCACUUGGUCAGCGGCUUAACGCAAGACUCGUAUACCUCAUCCUGGCUGGAGCUCGGUCCAAAGGCGUGGUCGAAGGAAAAAAGCUGGUCGGAACCGAGCAUCACCUGCGGGGCUCCGGGCACCACCCGCAGGCACUCCCGGUGGGUGUGCAGCAGCUCCCUGGGCAGGAGUGGACGCAACCGAACCGCCACACGGAUACGAACCUCCGCCAUUAUCAUAAAAGAUUAAACGCUUAUUUUAAAUUUGACAUUAAGUUAAUAAAAGAUAAAGACGCUUUGUAAUUGUGCGCCAUCUUUAAAAAAAGAUCAAAGUAACCUAGACAAGACAAUAAAGGCAAAGAAUAGGAGAAACACAAGCGACGAAUCCUUCCUCUUUCAUCUACGACACAUCCUAAAAAUCCACUUUUGUUUAAACUUACAUUAUUAAUUCUUCAUUCGUCUAUUUUUCGGUGCUUUUAUCGCAAUGAAAUGACACAUAAUUCCGUCUCGUCCGAGGUAGCCCGGUUGCCGUGGAAACAGACGCUAUGUUCAACAACGGCCUCAAAGGACUACCGGAAGACCGUUAAAAAAAAGUUAUAAAGAUUAACAGCGCCCCUACGUGGAGCUCCCAAGACUGCACCGAAAGGUGAGGGGUAAUACCAUACCAAAUUUAUUGUAAAGCCCUCUAAAGGCCUACUGAAACCCACUACUACCGACCACGCAGUCUGAUAGUUUAUAUAUCAAUGAUGAAAUCUUAACAUUGCAACACAUGUCAAUACGCCCUUUUUAGUUUACUAAAUUGAAAUUUUAAAUUUUGCGCGAAGUAUCCUGUUGAAAAUGUCUCGGUAUGAUGACGCGUGCGCGUGAUGUCUCGAAUUAUAGCGGACAUUUUUUUCCAGUCCGAUCCAAGCUAUAAGUAGUCUGCUUUAAUCGCAUAAUUACACAGUAUUCUGGACAUCUGUGUUGCUGAAUCUUUUGCAAUUUGUUCAGUUAGUAAUGGAGACGUCAGAGAAGAAAGAUGUAGGUGGGAAACGGUGUAUUGCAGCUGCCUUUAGCAACACAAACACAGCCAGUGUUUUCUUGUUUACAUUCUCGAAGGUGAAGCUUUACUAUGGAACAGAGCGGUCAAGCGAACAUAGUUCCCGACCAAAUGUCAACCAGCAGGUUUUGGUGAGAAACUUGUGGUAAUAAGUCGGCUGUUACUGUAGACAUGAGCGGAGCUUGUGUCCUCCUGCAGCUGCGGACUCUCUUGCCUCCUCCCACCGGAGACACUGGCGGUCACCACACCCCUCCGACUUUCAGGUACCAUAUAAUCUUACUAAAACACUAGUAACACAAUAAACAGAUAAGGGAUUUUCCAGAAUUAUCCUAGUAAAUGUGUCUAAUAACAUCUGAAUCGCUCCCACAGCCCUCGCCUUUUUUUCUAGUCCUUCAAUCUCACUAUCCUCAUCCACGAAUCUUUCAUCCUCGCUCAAAUUAAUGGGGAAAUCAUCGCUUUCUCGGUCCGAAUCGCUCUCGCUUCUGGUGGCCAUGAUUGUAAACAAUAGGAGGAUGUGAAGAGCUCCACAAACCGUGACGUCACCGUCUACUUCUUCCGGUACAGGCAAGGCUUUUUUAUUAGCGACCAAAAGUUGCGAACUUUAUCGUCGAUGUUCUCUACUAAAUCCUUUCAGCAAAAAUAUGGCAAUAUCACGAAAUGAUCAAGUACGACACAUAGAAUGGACCUGCUAUCCCCGUUUGAAUAAGAAAAUCUCAUUUCAGUAGGCCUUUAAAUGCAACCACAGUUGAAGAACAAAGGGCUGUACACCACAAAGAAAUACAGGCAAAGGACAGACUAAAAAGUAACAUUUAAAACGGAAGUAAAAUACACAUUCAAAAAGCAAAUACAAAUUAACCUACGACAUACUUGCCAACCCUCGUGGAUUUUCCGGUAGAUUCCCGAAAUUCAGCACCUCUCCCGAAAACCUCCCAGGACAAAUUUUCUCCCGAAAUUCAGGCGGAGCUGGAGACCACGCCCCUCCAGCUCCAUGCAGACCUGAGUGAGGACAGCCUGUUUUCACGUCCGCUUUCCCACAAUAUAAACAGUGUGUCUGCCCAAUGACGUUAUAACUGUAGAAUGAUCGAGGGCGAGUCCUUGGUUUCUUAUGUGAGUUUAUUGUUAGGCAGUUUCAUUAACAUCCUCCCAGCGCGGUAACAACACACAACAACAGCAGUCACGUUUUUGUCUACCGUAAAGCAGUUUGUUUGCCGUAAACAACAAUGUUGUGACACUCUGAAACAGGACAGUACUGCCAUCUUCGGUACAUGCACCACAACACCUCCAGGCAACUUCAACCCUUUACUAACACCCUCCUCCAUUCACAUCCCAUCUGUAAAUAACCUAAUGUAAAUAAUCGAAUGUAUUUCUAAUGUAUACACUUGUUUUUAGGCUAUCUGAAUUCACUAUGUUCUCUGCUCGCUGUACAUAUCCUACUAAGUAAUACCUACACUGUUUCAAUGUCCAUUUCUCUGUUGAUGCAAUUGUGGAUGACUGAAGUACUGAUAUCAACCAAAGCUCCUCAUCCCACCCCUCGGGUUGUAAAUAAUGUAAAUAAUUCAAUGUAUAUACUAUGAUGAUUAACUUGUGUGAUGACUGUAUUAUGCUGAUUGUAUAUAUUUGUACCAUGAAUUGAUUAACGUGGACCCCGACUUAAACAAGUUGAAAAACUUAUUCGGGUGUUACCAUUUAGUGGUCAAUUGUACGGAAUAUGUACUGUACUGUGCAAUCUACUAAUAAAAGUUUCAAUCAAUCAAUCAAUUGUGCAUAUGUGACAAUAACAUCUAUGGCUUUUAGAGAGUGCAGUGCACAACUGCGCACACAACAGUUGUAA